rnacentral:rRNA from 1 species
GGACGAACGCUGGCGGCGUGCUUACCACAUGCAAGUCGAACGGAAAGGCCCUGCUUUUGUGGGGUGCUCGAGUGGCGAACGGGUGAGUAACACGUGAGUAACCUGCCCUUGACUUUGGGAUAACUUCAGGAAACUGGGUCUAAUACCGGAUAGGAGCUCCUGCUGCAUGGUGUGGGUUGGAAAGUUUCGGCGGUUGGGGAUGGACUCGCGGCUUAUCAGCUUGUUGGUGGGGUAGUGGAUUACCAAGGCUUUGACGGGUAGCCGGCAUGAGAGGGUGAACGGCCACAUUGGGACUGAGAUACGGCCCAGACUCCAACGGGAGGCAGCAGUGGGGAAUAUUGCACAAUGGGAGGAAGCCUGAUGAAGAAACGCCGCGUGCGGGAUGACGGCCUUCGGGUUGUAAACCGCUUUCGCCUGUGACGAAGCGUGAGUGACGGUAAUGGGUAAAGAAGCACCGGCUAACUACGUG